UGCACAGCAACUCCUAUCCCAACCUUCUCGUGGUACUGGCCGGGGUACGAGUAACCUUAGGGAACAUCUGGUAACCAACCCCGGUGGGAACUUUGGUCGUAUGCUGACAGGGAAGG
rfam:Aedes aegypti strain Liverpool supercont1.48 genomic scaffold, whole genome shotgun sequence.